rfam:Triticum aestivum genome assembly, contig: Triticum_aestivum_CS42_TGACv1_scaffold_622044_7DS
UGUCUACUCCCUCCGUUCCAAAUUACUUGACCCAUAUUUAUCUAGACACCGAUGUAUCUAGACACUAAACAAGUAUAGAUACAUCCGUAUUUAGAUAAAUUUAAGUCAACUAAUUUGGAACGGAGGGAGUAGCUU